rnacentral:rRNA from 1 species
GCCAGCCCGCUCAAGAACUACAAAGGAAGUUGACGGGGCCCGCACAAGCGGUGGAGUAUGUGGUUUAAUUCGAUGCAACGCGAAGAACCUUACCUGGUCUUGACAUCCCGGAGACCCUUAGGAAACUAGGGGGUGCUUCCAUCUGGAAGAAUCUGGAGACAGGUGCUGCAUGGCUGUCGUCAGCUCGUGUCGUGAGAUGUUGGGUUAAGUCCCGCAACGAGCGCAACCCUUGCCUUUAGUUGCCAGCAGUUCGGCUGGGCACUCUAAAGGGACUGCCGGUGUUAAACCGGAGGAAGGUGGGGAUGACGUCAAGUCCUCAUGGCCUUUAUGACCAGGGCUACACACGUACUACAAUGGCCGAUACAAAGGGCAGCGACACUGCGAGGUGAAGCCAAUCCCGUAAAAUCGGUCUCAGUCCGGAUUGGAGUCUGCAACUCGACUCCAUGAAGUUGGAAUCGCUAGUAAUCGUGGAUCAGCAUGCCACGGUGAAUACGUUCCCGGGCCUU